GCACUGCUGAUAAGUCCCAAACAGGACGAAACAGCUGUCCGGUGC
rnacentral:hammerhead_ribozyme from 1 species